AGUCGUGCGCGAACACCCUUUCGGGGGUGAACGAGCGGCGCACGGGUGAGUAACACGUGAGUAAUUUGCCCUCGAGUUUGGAAUAACCCAGGGAAACUUGGGCUAAUGCCGAAUAAGACCACGUUACGAGAGUAACGAGAGAAAAGUAGGGGAUCUCUUCGGAGACCUUGCGCUCGGGGAUAAGCUCGCGGCCCAUCAGCUAGUUGGCGGGGUAACGGCCCACCAAGGCGAAGACGGGUAGCUGGUCUGAGAGGAUGAUCAGCCACACUGGAACUGAGACACGGUCCAGACUCCUACGGGAGGCAGCAGUGGGGAAUAUUGCGCAAUGGGCGAAAGCCUGACGCAGCAACGCCGCGUGAGUGAUGAAGGUCCUCGGAUCGUAAAGCUCUGUCGACAGGAAAGAGGGGUUGUCUGGCUAAUAUCCAGGCAAUCUGACGGUACCUGUAAAGGAAGCACCGGCUAACUCUGUGCCAGCAGCCGCGGUAAUACAGAGGGUGCAAGCGUUGUUCGGAAUUAUUGGGCGUAAAGGGCGCGUAGGCGGCUUGGUAAGUCAACUGUGAAAGCCCAGGGCUCAACCUUGGAAGUGCAGUUGAAACUGCCUCGCUAGAAUCUCGGAGAGGGUGGUGGAAUUCCCAGUGUAGAGGUGAAAUUCGUAGAUAUUGGGAGGAACACCGGUGGCGAAGGCGACCACCUGGACGAAGAUUGACGCUGAGGCGCGAAAGCGUGGGUAGCAAACAGGAUUAGAUACCCUGGUAGUCCACGCCGUAAACGAUGAUUACUAGGUGUUGUGGGUAUUGACCCCUACAGUGCCGUAGCUAACGCAUUAAGUAAUCCGCCUGGGAAGUACGGCCGCAAGGCUAAAACUCAAAGGAAUUGAC
rnacentral:rRNA from 1 species